UGGGGAAUAUUGGACAAUGGGCGAAAGCCUGAUCCAGCCAUGCCGCGUGUGUGAAGAAGGUCUUCGGAUUGUAAAGCACUUUAAGUUGGGAGGAAGGGCAUUAACCUAAUACGUUAGUGUUUUGACGUUACCGACAGAAUAAGCACCGGCUAACUCUGUGCCAGCAGCCGCGGUAAUACAGAGGGGGCAAGCGUUAAUAGGAAUUACUGGGCGUAAAGCGCGCGUAGGUGGUUUGUUAAGUUGGAUGUUAAAUCCCCGGGCUCAACCUGGGAACUGCAUUCAAAACUGACUGACUAGAGUAUGGUAGAGGGUGGUGGAAUUUCCUGUGU
rnacentral:rRNA from 1 species